CCCAGGAGCUGCUAUGCAUUUGAUUUUUAAAAAUGCGUCUUCAUUGUGCUCACCGAUGCGCUCUAACCGAAAUGCGGUCAUUACAAACUGCUCAGGCUGGACACCUUUACUCAGCUGAAGUUAUGUCCCCCAGUGCAGUCUGGCAAAGCUCUCUGCGCUGUAACUCAGCACUCAACAAGACACAGAGCCAUCACCUGACGACAGCCCCUUCUGCCUGCUUCUGCUGUGAAAAAGAGUUGGAAGGACAUGAUACUCACGCUUUAACUCACUGGACCAGACUUAAUUGCUUUGGACUUGGAAAUCCUUCAUGACGUAGAUACUAUUAGUCAAAUUUAAUAGAGGAAACAGAGUCAUGGAAGAGGGGAGUACCCAGAAGAGGACUGAAGUGAAGCCUCAGUCUCCUGAAAUCUACUUUUUUUGCCACCUUGCUUUUGGAGACAUGUGAAAUCAAGUUGGUCUUCAAGUUUAGCUUCUGGACUUACUAGGAAAUACCUUGCUCUUGACAAUGAGUCUGAAGCCAGAAGGGACCACCUGAAGCGGAGCAAAGGAUUGAAAAGAGGUGAAGGGGAACAAGCGAGGAGAGGAGAGAAGGAGCACACACACCUGGAUGCAGAGAUGUACGGGCAACACUGUCUCAGAGCUGGCAUGCCCAGAAACCUAAUGCAAGAGGCUGGGGAAAGGCACGUAUAGAGCCAUGGCACAGUGACACACACCCUUUAUUAGCAGGAAAGGCAACACUGCAGCAUUCCCUCUUCCUGGCCCGACACAUAAAUGUACAUUUUCAAUGCCCUGGAACGGCAGCUUGCCAGCAUACAUAAAGUGAGAGAUGGAGGAAAGCCUGCCCAUACACUAAGCUCGGUAAGGAGGAGAAAGCUGGGAAGCAGGAGUACGUGUAGAGUCCUCCUUAACAUCCGAGAUGUAGAAGCUUUUUGUCCCUUUAUUCACCACUUUCUGCACUCUUUGAAUUAUCUUCCACAACUUUUUUUUUUUAAUUAAAAAAAAUAUAAUUUAGGUACUUACACUGCAUAAACUACCUUUUUAACAUAUGAUGUUGAAGUUUCCCAUACAUUAGUCCCAUAUCUAUAUGUUGCCUGAAUUUUGCAAGUAUGUCUUGUGGUAUAUAUACCGGUGUUGUAUACUGUAUCAAACUGGAGACUGUUGUUGAACUGCCUUGACCUCUAUAUCCUUUGUGGAGAUACUGCUUUUCUGAACACAGCUCCUCCUCUCCAAUUCACUUAAUCUCUUUUUUUUUCCUGGAGUAACACAUUUAUUGGGCCAUAUUGACUCCAAAGGACCACACUAAAUCCAGUCUGAAGUAAAACCUUUAAAUUGCAGAUAUUGUACAUGUAGGUAGGGCAUCAGUCAAUUCCUUCAAUCUACCGAUCUGCUUCUAGUGCACCUUCAGCAACUGAAUAAGGGAUGAUGAUCUCCAUUUCUGGAUGACUGGUGAACUGCUAUCAGGUUUACCAAGUAAUGCUGUUUACUUUUAUGAAUCAUGAAGCACAUUAGUGCUCUUCCAGACUUCUGCAAUCUCUCCAUUAUUUAAAGAUAUAUUAAAAAUGAAUACCACUGGACCAGAUGUUUUCUCAGCUUAUUCUUAGGGUUCCUUAGAUUCUUAGGGUUCAAGAUAUUUAUGCUUCAUAUUGUUAUUCAUCCCUUUAGUUUAUUCGUUAAUUACUGUUUAAUUGCUUUCCUAUCAGAGGAGUAUAUUGUUUCUUUCUCUGAAUAAUACAGCAGCUAUUUUGAUUGAUUAACAUUGAUAGUUUGAUUUCUUUUGCCAAUAUUCUGAAGACCUGGAUUAGACAUACAAAGCUGUUAAAGCUUAGUCAGUGAGCGGCCAAAAAUUCAAGAAUCAUGUGUCUAGGAGGAAAUCAGGCAAGAAAGAAACUGAAUCCAUAGCCUAAGGCACCUUUGGCAACAGAGGCACACACAAGCUACAUCAGGGAGGACAGAGUAGGCACAAAUUAUGCAUUCUCUAAGCCCGUACACAGGUUGUUUUUUCUUCCUGAAAUUUUGGAGUAUGCAGUGUGAAGGGAUUCUUAUGAUGAGCAGGUGGGAGUCUCCUGGGCUGCUCUCCCAAAAUCCAGCUCUGAAAUUCCACCUGGCAACACGCAGCACGGCUGUUUUGCUGACUGUCUGCCGUGCACCUUGCUCUCUCCCACAUCUGUAGUGCCAGAUUUUUCAGGUCUUCUGUAUUGAUAUGGUUGUCUUAAUUACAUAUUAUUUGUAUCUUUCACCAGUUAUUUUUCUUCUGGGUUAUAAAGAAACAAAAAACUGCAAACACAGCCCUUCUACGUCUUGUGUUCUGGAGUUUUGGAUGGAAGGAUCCUGCAGACAAGAAACCAGCUUUUUUGUCAGUUAUCUAUAUUACAGUAUCAUCUGGAGAUCCCCAAACACUUUCAGUCUAAACUGGAACAAACACAUGGCAAAUGACACUGCCUACUGUGAAGAGCUUACUGUCUCAAAAAGGAUGGAAAAAGAAAUAUAAUUACACCAUUUUUCAGUAGCAUAAAGUGAUUAAAUCAAUUGCCUCAUGAAACACAAGAUGUCUGGCAGAAAAGCAACUUAAAGCUGAUCUCCAGAGGUCUUCUCCAAAAGGCUGGUAUUAUUCCACACAGAUUCUUUAGUCACUGAUAUUUAGAGUCCUAUGAUUAUUUCCAGUAUUGUGUUAAGUUAGCUUUUUUUGAACAAGAACAGUGAAUCAAUUACAGUAUCUCAGAAAUGAUCCCUCCUUCUACUGGUACCAGACAUUGCUGAGGCUCGGCUGCUGAGUGCCUUUACAAAUAGAGGUCUCCAGAGUUCUCAUUCCUGAUACAGUAAUUACCGCUUAGAGAGGUUGGGAAAUGAUUUCAUAGACUUUAAGGAUCAUAUGAUGGCAAAAAAAAGUAAUUUUAUUUUAAAAACCUAGAAGAUAGUGAGUAAUAGCUGCUGGUUUGAUCUGCCAAUUUAUUCCAGCUAUCCGAAGCAGGAAUUUUAUCUUUAACUUACAUCAAUCCUUCCUAGAUACAUUCACCACUGAAAACUUAACAAGAAAAUUAAUUAAACUGAAAUAAGCAGACAAAUUAAGAAGACUCACUAAAUUCACUACAGCAGCUGAUGAGGCCAUCACCAAACAGAAGAUACUAAUGAAGAAAUAUUUCUUGCAAAAAUAUCCAUCAUCCUGAAAUUGCUCUGUGAAAAAAAGAAACACUGAUGGUUUUCUUCUGAAGCAUUUAUUACUAAUUUCAACAUGAUUAAAGAAAAAAAGAAGUAUUUUCCUGCUCCUUUCCAAUAAAAGUGAUUACUCAAAAGGAAGAGCAAAAUUGGACACUGCAAGGGCAUACUUCAGGCAAAGCAGUCUUUUAACACAUCUAGUACUUUGAGAUAACUGCCUCAUUCAGGGUGAAAUGUAGCAAAGUCACCAGAUCCUCAAAGCUAGACAAGCAGAUGAAAAAAUACAGCACUUGCAAUUUGAGGCUGACGCAAUAAAUACAAAUAGCCUUACUCUGAGUCUUCAUAUUGCAAAGAAAAAUUAACAUUAUCAUUAAUGAUCUGGAUCCUUUGCUCAUAUCUCUUUACAGCUCAAGGCACUUUUGCUGUCCUCUCUUGUAGGGACGUAUGAGCAGAUCCAUCCCCCGCCAGCAGCAACAGCCCAUGGAAGCUCGGCAGUGCUGUCAAGCAGCAUCCUUAAUACCCCACCAGGGAAAUGGGCACAAUAGCACUUGCCUAUCUCACGUGGUUUGGGAAGACAGAUAUAUGAUAGAGAGGCUAAAAUACACAGAAAUGUUAAAUCCCAACCAUCCUUGGGGAAUUUCCUUCCCAGAUGAAAAGAUUUUACUUCC